CUCCAUCCAGAUGUGGAAAUCUAACUGCACUCAGAAAUGUGUUUAUGAAGACAAGAUUAAUGAUGCAGAAAGAAGCAGCACCAGAGAGCCUGUUGUGGCCCUACAUGGGACCUCAUGUUUGGGGUAAACCCUUUCUUGGCACACCUGGGUGACAUCAUAAACAGGGCAUAAAUGACCAGCGAAACUCUAAGCCCACCUGUUACCAGCCCAAGCUUUUAAUGAAUGGCAUCAGUGGGAUUUGCUCAGGACUAGCCUCAGGAGGUGAUCUCAGGGCCUUCCUUCCUUCCUUCCUACUGACACACAGGCCUGGGAGAGUCGCAGGGGAGUCAGGAUGGCCGGAUGUGCCCUGAUCAGAAAACACAGAGACGGACGGACAGACAAGGAACAGACAUGCAGACAGGAAGAUGCUGCUGCUACCGUGGACUUUGGGCUCGGUUGUCUUCC